AACGAACGCUGGCGGCAUGCCUAACACAUGCAAGUCGAACGAGACCUUCGGGUCUAGUGGCGCACGGGUGCGUAACGGGUGGGAACCUGCCCUUAAGUUCGGCAUAACUCCCCGAAAGGGGUGCUAAUACCGGAUCAUAUCUUCGGUCCGAAGAUUUGUCGCCUUUGGUGGGGCCCGCGUUGGAUUAGCUUGUUGGUAGGGUAAAAGCCUACCACGGCGACGAUCCAUAACUGGUCUGCGAGGAAGGUAAGCCACACUGGGACUGAGACACGGCCCGGACUCCUGCGGGAUGCAGCAGUGCGGAAUACUGGACAAUGGGGUGAAUGCUGAUGCAGCUCUGCCGGUUGAGCGCUGAAGGUCGUAGGGUUGGAAAGCUCGUUUACCCGGGAUUAUAAUGACAGUACCGGGAGAAUAAGCUCCGGCUAACUCCGUG
rnacentral:rRNA from 1 species